GCGGGGCUUGGCGGGAGUUUCGUGGGCGCCGCGGGAGCAGAGAGCAGCCAGAUGGCUCCGCCGGGCCGGGUGCGGUCCCGGAGGCCUGCAGGUGCAGUAUGUUCAAAGAACACUUUAAGAAGAACACAUCCUAUGAAAGAAAAAGCUGGUCAGAAGCACAAGCCUGCUGAUGUGUUUGAGUUUCCUGAUAAUUCCGAAAUCUCAAGCAGUGGCAGUGAAAGUAAGAAAGACGAUGAGCCUUACGAGACUUUGGU